rnacentral:rRNA from 1 species
AGUGAACGCUGGCGGUAGGCUUAACACAUGCAAGUCGAACGGCAGCCCGGUAAUCGCUUGCUCUUCGGGGGGCCGAGGGGCGAACGGGGGAGGAAAACAUGGGAAUUAAUUUUUUAGUGGGGGAUAACGUAGGGAAACUUACCCUAAACCACCUUACGACCAACGGGUGAAAGCAGGGGAUCUUGGGACCUUGCGGGAUUGAAUGACCGGAUGUCGGAUUAGCUAGUUGGCGGGGUAAAGGCCCACCAAGGCGACGAUCCGUAGCUGGUCUGAGAGGAUGAUCAGCCACACUGGAACUGAGACACGGUCCAGACUCCUACGGGAGGCAGCAGUGGGGAAUAUUGGACAAUGGGCGCAAGCCUGAUCCAGCCAUACCGCGUGGGUGAAGAAGGCCUUCGGGUUGUAAAGCCCUUUUGUUGGGAAAGAAAAGCAGCAGGUUAAUACCCCGCUGUUCUGACGGUACCCAAAGAAUAAGCACCGGCUAACUUCGUG